ACUUGAUUUAUUACUAAUUUAUCAAGAUUUAGUUCAACUCUAAAUUAGAUUUGGUG
rnacentral:tRNA from 1 species